rfam:Ophiophagus hannah scaffold2002.1, whole genome shotgun sequence.
CAAAAGGCUCUUUUAAGAGCCAUCCACUUCCCCGUGAAAGAGCUUG